rnacentral:lncRNA from 1 species
UAAAUAGAAUCCUUUAUGCAUACGCAGAAAGGUGAUUUAUGUAUUUCAUAUUGUAUGAAAAACAUUGAUAUAAGUUGUACCUAGAACGGUACAAGACGAUAUCAGUGCAAGCCCAGGAUCAGAACCAUGGCAACUGUCAAGUGAAUCCUUAAGUAUUUAAGAAAUACUAAAGGAUAGAUUCCUCAAAGAAUGAGGAAGAAUUAGAGUAACGUAAUGGAAGCGUAAAUGUAUUAGAUUGUGAAUCUAAUCCAUCAUUGGAUGUUUCUUCAUUAUGAAUGAAGAGAUAAACAGAUAUCUCUUUAUUAUGACUAAAGAAUUUUUUUGGAUGGAAACAUUAAAGUAAUGACUUUAGUGUGUUCCAUUAUGAAUGCAAAAUAUAUUGCCAUAUAGAAGCUUACAACAAUGUUGUUUGGAUGGGAAAGUUCAUUUAUGAACUCUCUAUUCGGUUCCAACCAGAAAGUGUAUCUAGUGUACUGACACUAUAACACUAAUGGGGCGAUAGCUCAAGCCUGGGAAUCAAGGUCUCAUCAAGGUCCGAACUCAUAUAAGAGACUGAACCACAUGAUUGAGAAUCAUGUAUAAUGGUGACGUCGUUAUUCUCAAGGUUGCUUCUAUGGAUAA